AGUUCCUGCCCGGUCUCUCUCCGAGAUCCGCGGCCUGAAAAGCCGCUGUUAUAAAAUUUAACUACAGAAAC
rnacentral:tRNA from 1 species